AACGCACAUUGCGCCCUUUGGUAUUCCGAAGGGCAUGCCUGUUCGAGCGUCAUUAUCACCCCUCAAGCCCUGGGCUUGGUGUUGGACGGCCGGUCGAGCGAUCGACCCCUCCUAAAGACAAUGACGGCGGCCUGUGGUUCCCCCGGUACACUGAGCUUUCACGAGCACGUAUCGGAUGAGGGCACCCGGGACCCGGUCCCCUCCUUUGCACAAAGGAAACUUCUAUGGUUGACCUCGGAUCAGGUAGGAAUACGCGCUGAACUUAA
rnacentral:misc_RNA from 1 species